AAGGGCACCACAAGAACGCGUGGAGCAUGUGGCUUAAUUUGACUCAACGCGGGAAAUCUUACCGGGUCCGGACACACUGAGGAUUGACAGGUUCUUGCAGUUUAGUUUACUAAACUGCUUUAAAUAUGCUAGUCCUUUCAUGAUCGUGUGAUAGGUGGUGCAUGGCCGUUCUUAGUUCGUGGAGUGAUCUGUCUGCUUAAUUGCGUUUCAAACAGGACAUUGGGCAACAAGUUGUGAUUCGAGAUUAGACCCUUUCAUUUAUUUGAGAGUUGUGCGCUCGUUUCGCACAGCCUAUUUCUGUCCUCAACGCAACGAACGUGACCG
rnacentral:rRNA from 1 species